UUCACUCCUGAAAACAUGGCCGUGGUCCAUAAACCCAGUGCUUUUGGUCAAGGUGCAGAGCAUCCCAAUGAGAUGUAACUCCUUUUUAUCAUGCAUUCCAGGGAGAGCUUGUCUGUCCUCUGCAUGGGAAGCCUUACCUGGGCAGGAUGGCCGCAGCGACCCCACUGGGAGCGGAAGACUUUGGAGACACAGUUGUUGCCCUCCACUGCAGCUGUAGUUCCUGCCGGGCAGAGUGAACGCAGUCUACGUGUAUCCAUGAUUAUCUUCCUGUGACGACCUUGUCUUCUAAGGAGAGAAGAUGUCAGUGUAAGUAACAGGAAAGCGUGUGUCCUCUCUCCAGGAAGGCCUGGAUCGCAGUAUUACCAGGGUUAUGU
rnacentral:lncRNA from 1 species